UCAUGUUGUUGGCCUGGGGGUAGGUUUAUGACAGUCAUAAAUACCUCUUCUCCCCCUUUUCCUCUCUCUACCCUACUGACAUGACAUUUGAAAAAACCCUUGGUUGACGUAGAUUCUGGGAACAUCAGAAGGUGGGGGGAAAUGAACUAUAUUCUGGUAAUCCGACCAAUUGAACAUAUGCGGUGGUACUUAAUGAAUAUGAUGUCAGUUCGGUUGUCAUCUGAGACAUUCUCCUCAAUGAUAGGAUGACAUAAACUCUACAGUGGAAAGUCUACGCAUCAGUUAUCGGAUUCACAUGGAAUUGUUGUUCAAUUUAAAUGUUUGAAUAUAAAAUUAUUGGUGAAGAGAUUAAAUGUAAUUUUAGCUUCCAAAUGAGAGAUUUGGCUUUUCAUAAGGUUAGGGCUCUUCUCAAUCAGUGGCCCACCCCUGUGAAGAGACAUGGGUUAUAAAACUUUCCACACACCCUUCUUGCUCCACUAUAUAAAGCCUUGACGGAAAUGUAACAUGCUGUUCCAAGUACGUGAGGUCUGCAGCCUCUGCUUUAAAGGACUAACAUGUCAACUACAGAACUAAGCCAACCUCAGCAUGAGCUUUGGUUGCGAAUGGUAUGAACUUUGAACUCUUAUUCACUAGAGAAGUGAUACCUCCUCGCCGUUGAGUUAGCAACAGCAGCUGCAAACGCGGGCUAAGGAAAGAACAGACAGAGUAUCCCGUCUACCACACAACAACGUUACUACAACGUAUUCAAUUGACAACCAGAGACAUUCUUCAAAGAACAAAGGACUCGGUUUGGCAACACGGCCAUCCAUCUACCACCAACCUACCGAAGCGCAGCUCAGAUGAGCUUCUGGGAGAUGGAUCUAGACAACCAGAACCAAAGCCAGCCCCACCCUGAGAACCCAUCUGGACUAUCAGAGGUUUUAACCCCCACUCCAGCAGCACCUCCAGGCACAGAAACGCCAACCUCUGAACCCUGCGCCAAUGCUCCUGCUCCUCAACCGUCAGUCCCAGCCCGGCCUCGACGGCCUCAGAGGACCCCCAGAGUAGAGGGCUCUGUAGACGUCUGUGAGCCCACACCUGACCCCACAGAGGCUAACCAGGACAGAUCCACUCCUGAUGCUCCAGCUGGGGCCAGCCGUCAUAAGCCCCUGCGGCCUGGAGCAGCCAAGCCCCCUGGGGGGCCUGGAGAGCCAGUGGGGUACACUGAAACCACUCUGAAGGCUGGCCCUAAAGUCCCAGGCCACCCCCCUGGGGCCCGGAACCCCAUCUCAAUGAGGGCAGCCUCAGUGCCCCAGCCACCGCCCUCCAGGCCUAUACCUCCCCACCUCAACCCUCAUGCCCAGAGGGCCUUCUCCGUGUCGGGCACCGCGGACACACAGGCCCAGGUGGUAGAAGACUUCAGGUGAGCUCCAGGUGUUUCUCAAUAUGCAUUCUACCGUGCUCCACACUCUCAUGCUCCAAGUGCAUUGUCCAAGGACGUUCUCUUGAGUACCUUCCUUCUAGCCAGGACAAUGGAAAUAGAGACGAAAAAAGAUAUACACAAAGCAAACGUUUUACUUCAUAACUAUCAGUUAGCUAUAUGUGAAUCAUAAUAAAGAAGCUAACCAGAUAGUGUAAAAGGCAAAAAUGACCUAAAACCAAUGUUAUCCAAGGUAGAUGUUAAUUAUUUGUGGGUAGCUAGCUAACAAUUAUUUGUGGCUAUCUGGCUAGCUAACAGGAGUAACUAUUGACUUCCUAUGGGCUUGCGACCUACACACACUACAAUGGGUAUUGUAGGCAUGUAACC
ensembl:lncRNA